rnacentral:rRNA from 1 species
GAAACUUGAGCUAAUACCGCAUACGCCCUUCGGGGUGAAAGGCUUCGGCCACCUGGGGAUCGGCCUGCGGCCCAUUAUUUAAUCCUUGUUGGUGAGGUAAAGGCUCACCAAGGGUACGAUGGGUAGCUGGUCUGAGAGGAUGAUCAGCCACACUGGGACUGAGACACGGCCCAGACUCCCACGGGAGGCAGCAGUAGGGAAUAUUGGACAAUGGGCGAAAGCCUGAUCCAGCCACGCCGCGUGAGUGAUGAAGGCCUUCGGGUUGUAAAGCUCUGUCGGGAGGGACGAAGGUCUUCGGACUUGACGGUACCUCGCAAGAAAGCACCGGCUAACUCCGUGCCAGCAGCCGCGGUAAUACGGAGGGUGCAAGCGUUGCUCGGAAUUACUGGGCGUAAAGCGACCGCAGGCGGCCAAGUAAGUCGGAUGUGAAAGCCCCGGGCUCAACCCGGGAACUGCAUUCGAAACUGCUUGGCUUGAGUUCGGGAGAGGGAGGUGGAAUUCCUGGUGUAGGGGUGAAAUUCGUUGAUAUCA